rnacentral:rRNA from 1 species
ACCUACGGGAGGCAGCAAUGAGGAAUAUUGGUCAACGGGCGGAAGCCUGAACCAGCCAAGUCGCGUGAGGGAAUAAGGCCCUACGGGUCGUAAACCUCUUUUGCCGGGGAGCAAGGGCCGGGACGCGUCCCGGCCCGGAGAAUACCCGGAGAAAGAGCAUCGGCUAACUCCGUGCCAGCAGCCGCGGUAAUACGGAGGAUGCGAGCGUUAUCCGGAUUUAUUGGGUUUAAAGGGUGCGUAGGCGGGCUUUUAAGUCAGCGGUAAAAAUUCGGGGCUCAACCCCGUCCGGCCGUUGAAACUGGGGG